rnacentral:lncRNA from 1 species
GACUUUUACCCCUAUGUCUAACACUACACUAUUUCUGACAGGUUUUUUUGCAAGUUGUAAUUUCUUUUAAAAUUAUUUAAAUUUCCUCCCUUUCUCUCUUUUCUAUGGAUCUAAAGAGAAAAAAAUCAGAAACAAAAAUCCUAGAAAAGGUUAAUAAAACAUGCGAUGGAAAGAAUUGAGAUCUUGAUAUUUGUUAGGCUGAUAUCCUAACAUCCAUAAAAAGAAAUAUGAAUCUUCUCUAAUUUAUUUUACUUUGAUCUUCUCGUACCUUCUUUCUCUGCACAUUUAUUUUUUUGACUCUAUUUUUUUAUCUCUGGAUUUUUCUUUAGGUUUAAUUUCAAGCUCUGUUUUCAAGAUCUGUUUUUUUUUUGUUUCUUUAGGAUCUGGUUGAAAACAUAUCAACACCAUCAGGAUUUUUCCGUCACGCCGCAUCUCCUCACCGCCUCGCCGCAUCUCCUCACCGCCUCGCCGCAUCUCCGCUACGUUGCAUCUCUUGCUCUGCCACCGCCACGUCUCCUUGUUCAGCGACCGCUGCAACUUCUUGCACCUCCAGCGUAACUCCUUGCACCUCCGCCGCCGCAACUCCUCCCACCACUCUGCCUCUGCUGUUCAUUCCACCUUCAGCAUCACCAAUCACCCUACACCUGCCCGAAAUGUUUUCUAUUUAUUUUUACUUUUGUUUGCCAUAUCCGUAUGUUACAUAAACUAGAAAGAGAAUAUGUAUAAGCCGUAAAGAUUGAAAUCAAAUUCUAAAAAUUGUAGAAGUUUUGUUUUUAAUGUGGUUGUUAUUUGUGCCAACUCAAGGUGUGUUGUAGCAAUUAGUGAAAAUGGCUUAGUGUUUAAAAUUACGUUUUUAGGGUUUUAUUUAGUGUUUAUGAUUUAGGGUUACACCUUUAAUGUUUAAGGUUAGGGUUUAGGUUUAGGAUUAGGGUUUAGAAUUUAAAGAUUUAGAUUUAGGGUUAUGUUUCAGGAUUAGGAUUUAGAAUUAGUGUUUAGGGUUUAGGAUUAGAAUUUUGUAUUUAGGGUUUAAUGUUUAAGGAUAUAUGGUUUAUGGUUUAGUGUUAGGGUUCAUGAAUAUGAUUUUGGGUUUAAAAUUUAAAUUUUUUUUUUUAAAGACUUUCAUAUUAAAUAUUUUUGGUUUUUUUUUUCAAACAUACAACGGC